rnacentral:miRNA from 1 species
UUCACAGAAUUCGCCAAAAUCGCCCAAACCACUCUCACUUACGUUACAAUUCCAAUAACUGCUCUGUAACGUAAGUGAGAGUGGUUUGGGCGAUUUUGGUGA